UGGGGAAUUUUGGACAAUGGGCGAAAGCCUGAUCCAGCAAUGCCGCAUGUGUGAAGAAGGCCUUCGGGUUGUAAAGCACUUUUGUCCGGAAAGAAAUCCUUGGCUCUAAUACAGUCGGGGGAUGACGGUACCGGAAGAAUAAGCACCGGCUAACUACGUGCCAGCAGCCGCGGUAAUACGUAGGGUGCAAGCGUUAAUCGGAAUUACUGGGCGUAAAGCGUGCGCAGGCGGUUUGCUAAGACCGAUGUGAAAUCCCCGGGCUCAACCUGGGAACUGCAUUGGUGACUGGCAGGCUAGAGUAUGGCAGAGGGGGGUAGAAUUCCACGUGUAGCAGUGAAAUGCGUAGAGAUGUGGAGGAAUACCGAUGGCGAAGGCAGCCCCCUGGGCCAAUACUGACGCUCAUGCACGAAAGCGUGGGGAGCAAACAGGAUUAGAUACCCUGGUAGUCCACGCCCUAAACGAUGUCAACUAGUUGUUGGGGAUUCAUUUCCUUAGUAACGUAGCUAACGCGUGAAGUUGACCGCCUGGGGAGUACGGUCGCAAGAUUAAAACUCAAAGGAAUUGACGGGGU
rnacentral:rRNA from 1 species